GAUGAACGCUGGCGGCGUGCCUAAUACAUGCAAGUCGAGCGAACGGACGAGAAGCUUGCUUCUCUGAUGUUAGCGGCGGACGGGUGAGUAACACGUGGAUAACCUACCUAUAAGACUGGGAUAACUUCGGGAAACCGGAUCUAAUACCGGAUAAUAUUUUGAACCGCAUGGUUCAAAAGUGAAAGACGGUCUUGCUGUCACUUAUAGAUGGAUCCGCGCUGCAUUAGCUAGUUGGUAAGGUAACGGCUUACCAAGGCAACGAUGCAUAGCCGACCUGAGAGGGUGAUCGGCCACACUGGAACUGAGACACGGUCCAGACUCCUACGGGAGGCAGCAGUAGGGAAUCUUACGCAAUGGGCGAAAGCCUGACGGAGCAACGCCGCGUGAGUGAUGAAGGUCUUCGGAUCGUAAAACUCUGUUAUUAGGGAAGAACAUAUGUGUAAGUAACUGUGCACAUCUUGACGGUACCUAAUCAGAAAGCCACGGCUAACUACGUG
rnacentral:rRNA from 1 species